AUGCAAGUCGAACGGUACGCUAUUCUUAUAGUCGCUUGCGACUAUAAGUUAGCUUACAGCGGCAAACGGGUGAGUAACGCGUAGGUAACCUGCCUUAAAGUCGGGAAUAGCUCAGCGAAAGCUGAGGUAAUACUCGAUAGUCUCCAAUCACUUCGGUGUUUUGGAGUAAAGUUUCGGCGCUUUAAGAGGGGCCUGCGUCCUUUCAGCUAGUUGGUGAGGUAAAAGCUCACCAAGGCUAAGACGGGUAGCUGGUGUGAGAGCAUGUUCAGCCACCAUGGAACUGAGACACGGUCCAUACUCCUACGGGAGGCAGCAAUUAGGAAUCUUGCGCAAUGGGGGCAACCCUGGCGCAGCGACACAGCGUGGAGGAGGAAGGUCUUCGGAUUGUAAACUCCUUUUAUGAGGGACGAAUAGAUGACGGUACCUCUUGAAUAAGUACCUGCUAACUACGUGCCAGAAGCAUCGGUGAUGCGUAGGGUACAAACGUUAUCCGGAGUUAUUGGGCGUAAAGAGAUGCGUAGGCGGCUUAAUAAGUCUAAGGUUAAAGUCCACGGCUCAACCGUGGAGAAGCUUUGGAUACUGUUAGGCUUGAGAUAUAGAGGGGUGAAUGGAAUUCCAAGUGGAGUGGUGAAAUACGUUGAUAUUUGGAAGAACACCAGUGGCGAAGGCGAUUCACUGGCUAUUAUCUGACGCUAAGGCUCGAAAGUAUGGGUAGCAAAACGGAUUAGAUACCCGUGUAGUCCAUACCGUAAACGAUGAAUGCUAGGUGUU
rnacentral:rRNA from 1 species